AUAGCAAGGGAAAUCCAAAUAGGAAUGAGUAGGAGCCUUGUAAGUGGGAUUCUCCGAAGGUGUUGAGCUGAGAAUUAGUAGGAUUCAGUACUGAUGAUGCUGCUGGUGUUGAGUGCGACUGAUGAGCUGAUAGGACAGAAUAACCUUUGGUAGUGCGGACACAGAAGUCAGACCAUUCUGAUUGCGUUGGUACUAACAGUAAUUGGAUGGGAGAAGUAUUAGAUUCUUAAUCAUCUUGGUGCACCUAAGCGAGAGUAGUUUCCUAGUAAGGGUUGGUGGAAUGUACGAGUGUGGUAGCUUACGAUUGGGCGAGGCUUGAAUACCCGGUCGAUAGAAGAGGUUAUGUAUUUCUGUUCUUAUCAUUUUAUAUUUAAGCUCUAGAACUACGCUAGAUGAAAUAUGAAAUGAUGUAGAAGCGUGAAAUGCAGUAACCUGAGUUCUUGUUAGUUGUUGUUCGUCUGACCCCGAGUGAAGCCAUAGAACUACGCUUGGUGUUGGGCGUUCGGGCGAGUAAGAACUAAGAUCUAUCUGGAACGUCAGUAGGAUGAUCGCAGUUGAGUCGAAUGUUAGGAACCAUAGUAUUCCUAUCUGGACUGAAUUAUCCCUGGAAUCUCAUGCAUGCGUGGGACGAGUGGGUACCCGCACUGCAUGGUGACCCGGAGUUGAACUUCAAAUCUUCGUGCUUAGCGUUUUGGAUUUCCGAGUAAGUAAACCUUGGUGUGUAGCACUCUCAGGUUUUAGCAUCCUGAGGAGUGUGAUUCGAAGGACUUGAGGAACGAUGAGCCUAUUGGAAGCCUGUUCAGACACUUGUCGGUUGUGAUAAUAGGAUACUUGUGUGGGUCAUUAUACGCCACUGAGGUAGUUUACCUGGAUACAUGGCCUCGGAGUUAGACCACCAUGUUGGUACUACCAGACGGGUAUGAUGCCACAAUAUCGCUAUCGUGCACAAAUGCGUGAGUCAUCCUUAUUCCGACAUGUGUGGGACAAAGGUGAUCUGAAGCUCAAGGUGGAAUUCUGAUUUGGCACUCGUGAGACACAGAUCCAGACUCUCAUAAGGUAUGUGGGAUAAGGAUCCAUACAUCGCACUCGAUAGUAGAGGAAUAACUAGACAGGCGAUGAUGUGAUGGAUCAAGACCCAAUAUUAUACUUAUGGAGACUCUGAGUGAUCGUGAUCGCGUGAGUUAGUAUCCGAUUGUACCUUGGGGAUGUCCUCGUUUUGUGAAGUGUUAAGUUGGAAAUCUUGCAUGAGUGUCUAGAGUGGGACUCAUGUGCGGUCAUGAUAUCCUGGUCAGCAUGGUGAGUGGCUAUCAUGUACCAUUGGCGACCGGUGAUGGAAUAUGCAAGUUGUAUCUUGGAUCGGCUCGAUGUGUGAUGUGUCCGGUAAGAUAUUGCUAGGUACUCUGAAAGGAGAAGUGUUAAUCUUGGUAAGGCAUGGACAAUUUGGUUUGAGAACUGCUAAGGAGUUUAUAAGAGAGAUGUUCGAAGUGCAAAGUGCAAAGUGCAAUUUCUUGCAUUGUGGCUACACUCAGACCGUUGGAAGCACUGCAAUGAAGGAUGCAGCCGCUGAGGAAGUCAGUUCAGUGUCUGAUUCAGAGGUGGAACAUACGUUAGAUGAUUGUGUGAAUGGAGUGUGGCUAUGGGAGGAUCGUUAUAUCAGUAGGUCACACGAGUUAUCAGAGGUGAUACUACGCUAAGAGAAUGAAGGUGUAUGGUUGGGUAGAAGUUGUGUAAAACUGCUAGAGUUAUCAUGGACUGCAGUAUGUCGUGAAGGAUUCGAUAUACCGGUUGAGCAACAAAGAUUUGUUGGAAUGACAGACAUAACGGUUAUACACUAUGAGAAUCAGUAACGAAGGACGAUUUCUAAGUCAAUGAGCAUUUGGUUCUCAAUGUCCUGAGGAUGAAACGUGUACCUAAGUUGUGGUAGAUGAACUAUAUGGAAUGGCAGAGUAAGUAGAAGCUUGAUUCUGGAAAGUACGCAACUUCAAAGAGUAGUAGCCGAUGAUGGAUGUAUAUAUAAAGUUCUGGCACGUGUUGUAAUUGGACGACUGUAGAUAAGGAAUUAUUGUGUAUUAAUGGGAACUAAGUGAAUUAUGGAUAUAAUAUGACUCAGAGGAUUUCAAGGUGUGUGACUUGUUGGAAUCAGAGUAGCGCAACGGAUCAGGGAAGAAUCAGAUAAGUCUGAGGUAGGAAUGGACGGACUAUUCGCAUGAUCUUAUAUUGGGAUGAAAAUAUCUUCCUAAGGGAAAUUGUCAAAGCAGCGUUUCGUUCGUUCUAGUCUCUUAAGGAUCACCAUAAUCUUGAGAGGUAUUGUUGACGACCGACUUAGAGGAGGCUUCAUGAUUGAUGUGCAAUCGGAUGUUUUCUUGGUCGACGGUCGAGCUUGUGAAUAUCGUGAUCGUUGAAAUGAUGAAGUCAAGUGAAGCAUUUUGCUUGACAAAGAUUUAUCAUGGAUAUGUCUGGUGCACUUAUGAGCGUGCGUGAAGAAUUUGGGCGAAGAUUGUAGGACCGCUGUUAGAGUUCACCUUUUGUCAGUGGAACUGCAAGGGAAAUUGUCGGAUAUUAAGGAUGUAGUUGUGGGAUUCUACUCCCUUGUGGUUUGCAGUGGCAGUGAUGUGGUCUAAGACUGAAUGAAGGAUCGGUUUGGAAGUGAAUCCGGGAUAUCGUCAUUGAAGGAAAGUUGUAAUAAGAUUUCUUGGAAUGGCAGUGUUUUUGGGAACCUAUGGCAAAAGUGGAGAUUCUGGGGCUUAUAUUAGUAAGGAUGAGCUUAGCAGAUACGUGGUAUGAUGAAUAUCCCAACUAGGCAUGGAUUGCCAUCAGUUCCAAGGCUACAGACUCAGUAUGAUGUGUAGAGGUUGGAGACCUCAGAAGAGAUGUGUCAUGAAAGAUCUGGGGUUUUCAAUCGGGGAUGGUAGAGCACAAGUCUAUUAGUAGUAGGUUAUGUUUCCUUAGACGGAACAAGUUUCAAUCAGAGUUGUAAGGUUUAUCCAAAGGAGAAGAUGUGAAGGUGUUUGUUGGCAUGGUGAUCGGAAGGAAUUCGAGGGCGAAUUCUAUUUAAGGGGGGGAGAAUGUAAUACCCCGGUUUGCCGACGCUAGUAAUUAUCAUUUAAUUGGAUAAUUGGAAAUUAGAAUGCACGUCUGGUCCUAUUCCGUAUCAAUGUAAGAAUUUGCUUAUAAGAAGAGCUAGUGGAUUUAGUUAGAAAGGAACCAUGUGGCAUAUUGGUAAAUAUGGCUUAGUUAAAGGGCAAAUUGGUCCAAAGAAAAAGUAUAUCAUUAUAAGGGUUUGUUUGGCUGAAAGGAUCAGAAUUGGAAAAGGAAAUGAGAAGCUUAGAAGCAUGGGAGAGAAGAGGAAGAUUCAUGUUCAUCACCUUCAUCCUCCAUUUUCGCAACUAUGGUACAGCCUUCACUAAUCAGCUUCUGAUUCGAAGGAGAAAACUGACCUUGAAGUUGUGUCAGUGAUGCUGAAAGUGUGAAAAGAGGGAUUACGGGUUUGUUCUUGUUGGAGAUGAAGAUUUGAUCAAGAAGGAAGUUUAGUGGAAGCAAGAACACAAUCUCAACCUCCAUUUUAGCAAGGUGCAGUUAGUAGCGUUUGGUCAGUAACAGGUUUGGACUGAAGACUUGGAAGUGGUGUUGGCUCGAAGACCUCGUUGGUUUUGACAUUCCGCUGUGCAAGAUCUAUUGAAGACUCAUGUAUUAUGCUUCUUAGUAGAAUUUCAUGUUGUAUUUUAUAUGGAUCUUUCUAUAACUAUAGCUUUUGUAUGUACUCAAUAUCAAUUUUAACGUUUCAUGCAUAAUAUACUAGUCAGUUAUGUAUGG